rnacentral:misc_RNA from 1 species
CCAUGGAGGAACACAAAUCCAGGUCAGACUAGGUCUUAUCACUUGGGAAAAAAUUUUAAACUUAGUAAAGUGAUUCUUCUGCAUAUCCCUUGUUAAAUUUCAACAACAAGCAGCUUUGCCAUACCAAAUACAUUUUUCUGUAUGUGGCUAGACCUCAGAAGUAAAUAAAUAUAGAAUUGAAGCAAUGAUAUCCUGAUUCAAUAGUAAAUGGAUCACAGGAAGUCUUCUUUCCUUCUUAUUUACAUCUUAAUGUUUUUUAAAUCCCCCAUUUUUUCACAAAUCAAAGAUGCUUUUUUUUGGAAAGAACUUAAAGACAUUAUUAUCUUAUUGAUUAUAUUUUGUCUGUUUACAUUGCAAAU